GAAAUGCGAUGGUCGGAAGCGGGGUGAAUAGUGGGGGUGCGAGCGUUAAUCGGAGUAGUUGGGAGUAAAGGGCGCGUAGGCGGUGGUGUGAGUGUGAUGUGAAAGCCCCGGGCUUAACCUGGGAAGGGCAUCGCAAACGACAUGACUGGAGUAGAUGAGAGGGUGGCGGAAUGUCCGGUGUAGCGGUGAAAUGCGUAGAGAUCGGAAGGAACGUCGAUGGCGAAGGCAGCCACCUGGCAUCAUACUGACGCUGAGGCGCGAAAGCGUGGGGAGCGAACAGGAUUAGAUACCCUUGUAGUC
rnacentral:rRNA from 1 species